rnacentral:rRNA from 1 species
UACGUAGGGUGCGAGCGUUGUCCGGAAUUAUUGGGCGUAAAGAGCUCGUAGGCGGAUCUUUAAGUCAGAGGUGAAAUCCCAAGGCUCAACCUUGGAACUGCCUUUGAUACUGAGGAUCUUGAGUUCGGGAGAGGUGAGUGGAACUGCGAGUGUAGAGGUGAAAUUCGUAGAUAUUCGCAAGAACACCAGUGGCGAAGGCGGCUCACUGGCCCGAUACUGACGCUGAGGCACGAAAGCGUGGGGAGCAAACAGG